AAAAAAGCUGUGGUUUGUUGCCUUUGUGAGCAGUCCUCUUGUUAAAUUUAGGGAUAUAGAAUCCAUUGUUAUUGGGUGAACCUCUUUCCCUUUGUGUGUGAAGGUUCAGUAAACGAUGAAACAUUU